AUGCGCAGCAUGAGAAGCACGAGUCAAAGAAAGACCCAGAGCACGCCCACAAGCACAAGAUAGAGGAGGAGAUUGCUGCAGCAGCUGCAGUUGGGUCUGGUGGGUUUGCCUUCCAUGAGCAUCAUGAGAAGAAAGAGGCAAAGGAAGAAGAGGAAGAGUCUCAUGGAAAGAAGCACCACCAUCUCUUCUAAAUCUACAAAUAAAUACUAUAUUUUAUAUUUAUAUAUUAUGAUUUUACUUAUCUGUUAUGAGUGAGGUUUGAUCUCAGCAAUGUUAUAAUUGUUGAGUGCUUAUGUGUGCUUGUUAUAUGAGUGCUAUGCAUCUAUUUAUUUCUCGUUGUUGAUAAUAAAUAAUAUCGUUUACUUGAUGUUAAUUUCUAUAUUAUUAAUUGGUCUUCUUUUUUCUUCUAAGAUAGAAAAUA
rnacentral:lncRNA from 1 species